UGGAGGAACAACCCCAGUGGCGGUGGCCAGCUCUGCAGCCCUGGAUUCAGCCCCCGCAGUAUCUCCAGAGCUCUGCAUCUGCAGGGCCUGUAGGCUCUGGGGUGGG
rnacentral:pre_miRNA from 1 species